GACGAACGCUGGCGGCGUGCUUAACACAUGCAAGUCGAACGGAAAGGCCCUGCUUUUGUGGGGUGCUCGAGUGGCGAACGGGUGAGUAACACGUGAGUAACCUGCCCUUGACUUUGGGAUAACUUCAGGAAACUGGGGCUAAUACCGGAUAGGAGCUCCUGCUGCAUGGUGGGGGUUGGAAAGUUUCGGCGGUUGGGAAUGGACUCGCGGCUUAUCAGCUUGUUGGUGGGGUAGUGGCUUACCAAGGCUUUGACGGGUAGCCGGCCUGAGAGGGUGACCGGCCACAUUGGGACUGAGAUACGGCCCAGACUCCUACGGGAGGCAGCAGUGGGGAAUAUUGCACAAUGGGCGGAAGCCGGAUGCAGCAACGCCGCGUGCGGGAUGACGGCCUUCGGGUUGUAAACCGCUUUCGCCUGUGACGAAGCGUGAGUGACGGUAAUGGGUAAAGAAGCACCGGCUAACUACGU
rnacentral:rRNA from 1 species